AUUGAACGCUGGCGGCAUGCCUUACACAUGCAAGUCGAACGGUAACGCGGGGCAACUUGGCGACGAGUGGCGAACGGGUGAGUAAUACAUCGGAACGUGCCCAGUAGUGGGGGAUAGCCCGGCGAAAGCCGGAUUAAUACCGCAUACGACCUACGGGUGAAAGCAGGGGACCGCAAGGCCUUGCGCUAUUGGAGCGGCCGAUGUCAGAUUAGGUUGUUGGUGGGGUAAAGGCCCACCAAGCCGACGAUCU
rnacentral:rRNA from 1 species